GGGCUCGUGGCUUAGCCAGGAUAUAGCGCUGGCCUUCUAAGCCAGACGCCCCGGGUUCGAAUCCCGGCGGGCCCGCCA
rnacentral:tRNA from 4 species